UAUUCAAUGUUGUUCUGGAUACCUGUAAUGAUUAAUUUGAAUUGUCAACUUGAUUGGAUUAAGAGAUGCCAAGAAUUAAGAGGUUUAUGGUGUAUUGAUGAGGGUGUGUGUAGGAAUGACUGGCAUGUGGGAUAGCCAACUGAAAUGGAGACUCUCCCUAAGAGUGGGCAGAACCAUCCAAUAGGAUGAUGGCUUGGAUGGAAUAAAGGUUGGAAGAAUAAGGAAACAGCAGCAUAAGCAAGCUUGAUUGCUGCUGAGAUCAUCUGAAGAUGUCAGACACUCAUUCCUUCACUCUUCCAAAGCAGCCUCUCUCAGUGAUUCCCCAGAAGCCUUUGUUCUUGGACUAGGGUAGCACCAUUAAUCCCUCUUGUUCUGAGGCUUCAGCCUCUUGGACUGUGUAGCUACUGGUUCCUCCAGCUCUCCAGCCUGCAGACAGCCAUGGUGGACUAUCCAGCUUUUGGUCGCUUGAGCAAACCUAAUAAGUCCCCGUUUUAUAUUCAUACCUCCUGUCGAUUCUGUUCCUCUAGAGAACCCUGACUAAUACAGGAUCCUAGAUGAUAAACUAGG
rnacentral:lncRNA from 1 species